UACGUAGGGUGCAAGCGUUGUCCGGAAUUAUUGGGCGUAAAGAGCUCAUAGGCGGUCUGUCGCGUCGGCUGUGAAAACCCGGGGCUCAACCCCGGGCCUGCAGUCGAUACGGGCAGACUAGAGUGCGGUAGGGGAGACUGGAAUUCCUGGUGUAGCGGUGAAAUGCGCAGAUAUCAGGAGGAACACCGGUGGCGAAGGCGGGUCUCUGGGCCGUAACUGACGCUGAGGAGCGAAAGCGUGGGGAGCGAACAGG
rnacentral:rRNA from 1 species